AUGAUGUCUUCUUCUCGGCAGGAAGGGCCCGCCAGACUUUUUGAAUUUGUUUGUAGCGCUCAGACCAGGCUGGAUAUUGUUUUGAUCCAUUCUGGGUGGUUGAGAUUGGCAUAUAGGACAGAGGCCAUUGUUGCAUUCCGCCCUAGUUUCUCGUCCUGUUCCAUACGGUGGGAAGAUCGCUGAUUAGAUGUUGAACCCGCAGGCUGAGUAGUGGAGCAACUAUCGCCUUCAUCACUUCCCAGCCAGGGCGAGGCUGGACUGAAUUGAGGGCUGCUACAAAAAAAGAUGCAAAAAGCUAUGUAAAAAAAGUUUAUUCAAUUAAAGACGAGGAAAAAAUAAUAUCCAAAUUAAUCAUUUAAGUAUCGGGUGCCUCGAGGGCUGAGCGAGACGUAGCUGGUCUACACUCCCUGCCCUCCAGUCCUCGGCUCCACAGCCCUGCCGUGGGGUUGUCACAGGGUUUGGCGCAAGCUGGGCCUCUCUAAUGACACAAUUUGGCAACUGAUGAAGCUGAUAGCGAAGAAAAGGAUACAACUUUAAACUAAUUUCUAACCUAACCUAACUCCAGGCAUUAUCUCAAAAAUUUCUUUCGCUGGCCCUCAUCCUAGUUUCCUUGUCAGAAAAAUGCAAAUCGCAUAUUUAUGUCCACCUGGCUUUUAUUUCUAGGCAUCAUCAAUAAUGCCAGAAUGUUUACAGAAUGGUGGCUCAGAAAAUAUAACAUGUUGAUGACAUACUAAAAUUUGGAAAAUUUCGCUGACUUACUUGCUAUAUUCAGAAUGAUAUGGUGAUGCUGAGGGGUGAUGCUGAGGGGUAUCCGAGAGGUGCAAAUUUGAAUGCACAACAGGAGGUAGAGCUGCAGGGAUUUGAGAUCUGGGUAGACUAACGGCUUGAUGCAGGGCUGAGAAAAAUAGAAAAAAACAAUGUUAGAGGAAGGUCAUGGCAGCGAAAACUAAUUGACAGGAGAGGAAAAAUACAAAACAAGACUUAAAGUUAAAUUAAGAAAAAAUUAAUAAGAUAAAGAAAUGGGUUCUUUCUCUCAUUGAAUUUGUAUGCUGGAUUGAGCCUACACAAUCUCAAAACUUGAUGUAAAGACUCAUGCCAGGGAAGGCUCAGAGAUCGCAAAUGCAAAUGUUCCAAUGGCGGAGUGAAGAGUUCAUGCCAUCACCCGCAAAUUGAUGGUAAUUAAACUUUGGAUGUAAAGUUUGACAACCCAUGAAAUCACAGGUUUCACCAUUUUUCAUUGUCCUCCUGGCACUGUGAGAAAAAAAACUUAGGAACGCAUCGACACAGUAUGUAUUGACAGAAUAACUUUGCAUUUCCUUUUAUAAGAUGACAUUGCACAAAAACCCUCAUCAUUGAGCUUUAUUCACUCACCAGGGUGAUUAGAGGAAGGCGACAUAAUUGGUUGAGGUCCUUGAAUAAUAUUCAUGUUUGGCUGGUGUUGGUUUGUAACAGAGAAGACAUUGACUGGGUUAGCGGCUUGAUUGGGGUUGGCAGGCAAAUUAGCAUUUUCAACACUGGCCACUACUUCAUCUGUGAGAACAUCUUUGAAGAUCUCUUCAACAUCUUUGGAGUCCAUAUUUGGUAAACCGGUUUCCCGCACGAUUGAGUCAAGGUUGAAGUGUGAGUUGAAAAUGUCCGUCAAUUCAUCUUUAGAACCUGAAAAGCACAGUUGAAAUUCUAAAUUCUAACAAACUAAAAAUGUAUUACCUAUUCCUAAUAAAGUGUAAAUUUGCCCCACUUUCAAAAAUUAAUAACUGAAAAAAGAAAUUAAUCGAUUAGAGAAUUGACUCACGACCCAAAAUUUGCUUCAUGUUUGCCGCAGUCCCAAGAUAUCGAGAUCAGGCAUUUUCUACAUUCUUGUUGAACACAUUGUGAGGGUACUUAAACAAAUAAGAGGUUGCUCUGUUUGAUUGAGAUUAGAUUUUUAAUUUUAAUGGUAUUCAUUAUCAUGACUAAUUGAUCCUCACGAAUUUACUCAAGAC
rnacentral:lncRNA from 1 species